rnacentral:sRNA from 1 species
GAUAACCCUUCCCUCCAGGAUCUUCAUGAGGAUCUCAGUGAUGUCAUUUAUAAAGCCCCUGGGGUCUCGGGAGCCCUCAACAAUGCUGGAGAGACAGGCCACAGCUCUGAAGAGCUGCCCCAGCCCUGUGGAGCUGAAGCAGGGUCUGGAGGCCCCCUCUGGGGCCAGGCCAAUCAUGGGGAGGCCCCCAGGAGUUCCCAGGGAGGGAGACUCAGCACAGAUGAUGUCGAACAGCCUUUACCGCAGCCCUUCGAACAACCAUAACUGUCCCGGGCACUCCGCUGAUUGGCAACUGUGCCUCUAACAUGCCCCCGGCCAGCCUAGGGGGCCGGGAACCAAGCCCUCUGUUGGCAUCUCUGUCUUGUGGGUCCCCAUUCUAGAAUUAUUUCCGCGAUGCCUGGAACAUCUUCGACUUUGUGACUGUUCUGGGCAGCAUCACCGAUAUCCUCGUGACUGAGUUUGGGGUAAGUCUCCCUCCAGCUUCUCUCUGGGUGACUCUGGGCUGGACGAGGCAGGCGGCAGGGGGCGGGGGAGCGGUCCCAGAGGCAGUGUGUCCCGGCAGCCAUAGCUGCUUGAGCCAGCACUUGGCCAUGACCAGAGAGGGAGAACUGGGGCCCCGGGGACAAUGGCAGCCCCUCAGGAGGGCAUCGUGGGGAGAUGGGGGUGACCAAAGCUUGGCUGUAGGGCCAGCACUGAGGGGUGGGCUUUCCUGCAUCCUGGCCUAGGAAUUAAUAAUGCAGAUGAGUACAUUGAGGGAACUGAGACACUCAAAAGCUCCGAAAGCUGAGCCGGCUCCCAAACACCACCCUAUGUCAGGAGCCCAGAAAGAAUGGGUUUCGAGUCAAUUCUGUUUGAACCAACCCUCUCCUAGUUGGCAGGAGAGAGCCACAGCCCUCAGGCCAGUGUGGGGACACCACUCCCAGGGCCAUAGAGAGGUCCCCAGGGUGUCUUCCCUCCUCUAGCCCCGGGCCUGGGAGACUCUCAACAUGGGAGUCUCUGGACCUCUCUGUGGUGGCCUCACAGGCCACAUUGCCCUUCUCCUUUUCUGGAAGACUCAGGGCCCCAGAGGUCCUGUCCUAGACCCUCUCCUUGGCCAUCUGCCAAUGAGCCCAGGCUUGGGGUCCCUCAGGAGAUUGGGGGGAGGGUAGAAGAUCCUUGCAGGGGGAAGCAAUGGUCAAAAAAGGGUGUCAAAGCCAAGGGUCAAGGGUGAUAUCGAUGUCAUCUUACUAACAAUAAAAAUAACAAUAGCUCACGAGAAUCGCAGCCUUGCUGUGUGCCAGGGAACUGUGCCAAGUGGUUUACGUGGAUUGGCUCAGGAUAGAGGUCUUGGUCUCAGCUCGUGAGAGAAUUCCCUCGGAGGGUUCAACUGAAGGCACCCAAAUGCAGAGCUCACUGGUGGAGGGGAAGGGAAGGGUGCCCACAAGGGUGGCAAGGUGUCCAGCGACCAGCCACCAUGGGGAGCUGUUACCUGCCCAGGUGCUGAAGUGGGGAGGAAACCUGAGCCGGAGGCCAGGAGAAGCCACCAAGUGGGAGCUGUCCUGUCAAUGUGGAGAGACAGAGACCAGGGCCCAAGCAGGCAGAGAGCAAUAGGGGAGAAACACCCCAACCUUUCUCUCCCCUCAUCCCUCAUCUCCUGCCAGAGCCUCCCAUGGCCCAAAGUAAACCAGAAGCAAGCUGAAUAUGAUGCUCAGAGCAGGCAGGGAAGUCAGGAGAAUAGAUCUGGGUGUGGUCGGGCCUGAGGAAGAGGGUGUUGCCUCAUUUCACAGAUGGGAAAACUGACCUCAGCCGGGCACGGUGGCUCACGCCUGUAAUCCCAGCACUUUGGGAGGCCGAAGCCGGCGGAUCACCUGAGGCCAGGAGUUCAAGACCAGCCUGGCCAACAUGGUGAAACCCCGUCUCUACUGACAAUACAAAAAAAUUAGCCAGGUGUGGUGGUGCAUGCCUGUAAUCCCAGCUACUCAGGAGGCUGAG